GACAUCAGCUGCCACACGGGUGAUCUGCGUGACUGGCAGAUCCAAUGGCAUAAAUUGCAUCCUGCGCGCACGAACGGUUCAUCUGCAUUCUCUCUUCAAAUGCGAUCGGACGGAUGAGAUUGAUCGCGAUAAACGGUCUAUAUUCACUCAUGCAAUAUGCAUAAAUAGGCAACAAUCGGACGACUCUCCUCGCUCCACGUCAACGUAAAUGAACGACCAACAUUAAAGAGAAAAGAGGUAUUUAAACCUCUCUUCAGUCGGUCCUAAAACCCUAACCGACACUCGACAGAAAAAGAAGAAGAAGGAGGGCGGCCGGAGGGAAGACCAGCUACCGAAGGGACGCUGUUGCCGCCGCAUCGGAGCCAUCGCCGAUGCCGAGAAAGGUAAAAAAAAUUUCUUCCCUCUUGGAAUUCAAUGUCAAAUCUCUCUAUGCUUAUAUCAGAAUCAAAAGGCUAACGGACGAGCCGAAAAUCACGAGCGAAGCUCGACAGAGCCGCCGCGAUCAAAAUUCAAAACCCUCUCGGAUGACCCUCUUCUUGUUAUCCGUUUCGUGUGAUUUUUUUACCAUUAUAUUUUUCGUCUUUUUCUGGUGCAGGUUAGUCGAAGAAAAACCUCGAUCGUGAAGGAGGAACGGUGGAAUCGCUACACCAAGAGACCUUUCACUGCCAACCAAAAUCGGCAUAAAUCGCAAAAAGGUCAAAUCGAGGUGAACCACCGUCAUGGACAAUAGAGUCGGUGCGAGAGCGGCAAUGCUGUGCCAGAAUCCUAAAAUUGGUCGGAAAAAUUUUAAAACGUUUAUUUUAGCAUUUUGGAAUAUUUUUAAAUACGUGACGAGUAUUUUAAUUUUCGCAGAAAAAAUUUAAGAAACCCGGAGACCGUCAGGAGGUGCAGUGAAAAGUACGUUGUUUCGGAUACUGAUCUGAGGUAAGAAUCCCUUACUCUUUUUUCUAUUUAUGGUAAAUUGAAGCCUAAUAAUCAAUAACACGGUGUUUUAUGAAAAUUAAAACAUCCAAAAAUUAAUUACAGGUCACUAGUGGAGACGGAACCGGUCAGUGCGUAUUUGUCCUAGUUUAUUGUUUAUUUUUUCCUAUACUGCCUAAUGUGUUUACUGUUAUAUUGUGUGUUUUGAAUUACUAGUUUUAGAUUGCUUUCCUGAUUAUUUAGUUUACUUAACUGUAUUGCCCUCAUCUGUUGUUUUGUUCCUAAUAAAUGUUCUAAUAAUGAUUUCUUGAUUUA